AUGAACGCUGGCGGCGUGCCUCAUACAUGCAAGUCGAGCGCACAGACGAGGAGCUUGCUCCUCUGACGUUAGCGGCGGACGGGUGAGUAACACGUGGAUAACCUACCUAUAAGACUGGGAUAACUUCGGGAAACCGGAGCUAAUACCGGAUAAUAUAUUGAACCGCAUGGUUCAAUAGUGAAAGACGGUUUUGCUGUCACUUAUAGAUGGAUCCGCGCCGCAUUAGCUAGUUGGUAAGGUAACGGCUUACCAAGGCAACGAUGCGUAGCCGACCUGAGAGGGUGAUCGGCCACACUGGAACUGAGACACGGUCCAGACUCCUACGGGAGGCAGCAGUAGGGAAUCUUCCGCAAUGGGCGAAAGCCUGACGGAGCAACGCCGCGUGAGUGAUGAAGGUCCUCGGAUCGUAAAACUCUGUUAUUAGGGAAGAACAAAUGUGUAAGUAACUAUGCACGUCUUGACGGUACCUAAUCAGAAAGCCACGGCUAACUACGUG
rnacentral:rRNA from 1 species